ACACCGAUGGUGAAGCGGUUAUCAUGCUUGCCUUCCAUUAGGUAUUUAAGCAAGCGGCAGGGGUUCGACUCCCCUUCGGUGUA